rnacentral:tmRNA from 1 species
GGGGCUGAUUUGGAUUCGACGGAAUACACGAAACCCAAGGUGCAUGCCGAGGUGAGGCAGGCCUCGUAAAAAGCCUCAACACAAUAGUUGCAAACGAAGACAACUACGCUUUAGCGGCUUAAUAACCCGCUAUGCCCGACCCCUAGCGCUUGGUCUGUGAGACUAGGAUCCGUCGGUUCACCCUAAAGCAGACUCGCGUGGAGGCUUCGCCCGGAGCCAAAGCGUUAAAUCCAAUCGGGCUCGUCACUUAAGUAGCCUGUCUGUCGGCGACUGGGUGAUUAACUAAAAGACUGACUACGCAUGUAGGACCGAGGAUGUAGGUAUUGCGGACGCGGGUUCAACUCCCGCCAGCUCCACCA